rnacentral:rRNA from 1 species
GACGAACGCUGGCGGCGUGCUUAACACAUGCAAGUCGAACGGAAAGGCCCUGCUUUUGGGGGGUGCUCGAGUUGCGAACGGGUGAGUAACACGUGAGUAACCUGCCCUUGACUUUGGCAUAACUUCAGGAAACUGGGGCUAAUACCUGAUGGGAGCUCCUGUUUCAUGGUGGGGGGUGGAUAGUUUCGUCGGUUGGGGCUGGAUGCGCGGCUUAUCAGCUUGUUGGUGGGGUGUUGGCUUACCAAGGCUUUGACGGGUAGCCGGCAUGAGCGCGGGACCGGCCACAUUGGGACUGCGAUACGGAGCAGUCGCGUACGGGCGGCAACAGUGGAGAGCCUUGCAGAAUGGGGGGACGUCUGAUGAAGAAGCUCCGCGUGCGGAAUGACGGGUUGCGGGUGGUAAACCGCUUUCGACUGUGAAGAAGCGUGAGUGACGGUAAUGGGUAAAGAAGCCACGGCUAACUACGUG